rnacentral:rRNA from 1 species
AUUGAACGCUGGCGGCAUGCCUUACACAUGCAAGUCGAACGGUAACAGGUCUUCGGAUGCUGACGAGUGGCGAACGGGUGAGUAAUACAUCGGAACGUGCCUAGUAGUGGGGGACAACUACUCGAAAGAGUGGCUAAUACCGCAUGAGAUCUACGGAAGAAAGCAGGGGAUCGCAAGACCUUGUGCUACUAGAGCGGCCGAUGGCAGAUUAGGUAGUUGGUGGGAUAAAAGCUUACCAAGCCGACGAUCUGUAGCUGGUCUGAGAGGACGAUCAGCCACACUGGGACUGGGACACGGCCCAGACUCCUACGGGAGGCAGCAGUGGGGAAUUUUGGACAAUGGGCGCAAGCCUGAUCCAGCAAUGCCGCGUGCAGGAUGAAGGCCUUCGGGUUGUAAACUGCUUUUGUACGGAACGAAAAGCCCUGGGUUAAUACCCUGGGGUCAUGACGGUACCGUAAGAAUAAGCACCGGCUAACUACGUGCCAGCAGCCGCGGUAACAC